GAAUAUUGGGCAAUGGGCGCAAGCCUGACCCAGCAACGCCGCGUGAGGGAAGAAGGCUUUCGGGUUGUAAACCUCUGUCCUUAGGGACGAAAAAAAUGACGGUACCUAAGGAGGAAGCUCCGGCUCACUACGUGCCAGCAGCCGCGGUAAUACGUAGGGAGCAAGCGUUGUCCGGAAUUACUGGGCGUAAAGGGUGCGUAGGUGGCCAUGCAAGUCAGAUGUGAAAUCCCCGGGCUUAACUCGGGUGCUGCAUUUGAAACUGCGUGGCUUGAGUGCAGGAGAGGAAAGCGGAAUUCCUAGUGUAGCGGUGAAAUGCGUAGAUAUUAGGAGGAACACCAGUGGCGAAGGCGGCUUUCUGGACUGUAACUGACACUGAGGCACGAAAGCGUGGGGAGCAAACA
rnacentral:rRNA from 1 species